UACGUAGGGUGCGAGCGUUAAUCGGAAUUACUGGGCGUAAAGCGUGCGUAGGCGGUUUUUCAAGCUUGAUGUGAAAGCCCCGGGCUUAACCUGGGAAUGGCAUUGAGGACUGAGAGGCUAGAGUGCGGCAGAGGGAGGUGGAAUUCCUGGUGUAGCGGUGGAAUGCGCAGAUAUCAGGAGGAACACCAAUAGCGAAGGCAGCUCGCUGGGACGGUACUGACGCUAAGGCGCGAAAGCGUGGGGAGCGAACAGG
rnacentral:rRNA from 1 species